rnacentral:rRNA from 1 species
UUCGAUUAAGCCAUGCGAGUCGAGAGUCUUAGGGACUCGGCGUACCGCUCAGUAACACGUGGGUAACCUGCCCUGUGCUGGGGAAUAACCUCGGGAAACUGAGAAUAAUGCCCCAUAGUUCACCACGCCUGGAACGGUGGGUGGAUCAAAGCUCCGGCGGCACAGGAUGGGCCUGCGGCGUAUCAGGUCGUAGGGGGUGUAACGUACCCUCUAGCCUUCAACGCGUACGGGUUGUGGGAGCAAUCGCCCGGAGAUGGAUUCUGAGACACGAAUCCAGACCCUACGGGGUGCAGCAGGCGCGAAAACUUCACACUGCAGGAAACUGUGAUGAGGGAAUUCCAAGUGGCUAGACAAAGUCUAGUCUUUUUGUAACUUUUAAUCGGUUACAGAAUAAGGGGUGGGAAAGACCGGUGCCAGCCGCCGCGGUAAUACCGGCACCUCAAGUGGUCGUCGCUUUUAUUGGGCCUAAAACGUCCGUCGCCUGUUUGGUACAUUCGUGGGUAAAUCAACCAGCUCAACUGGUUGAAUUCUGCGAGGACGGCCAGACUAGGGACCGGGAGAGGUAUGGGGUACUCUCAGGGUAGGGGUAAAAUCCAGUCAUCCUGAGGGGACCACCUGUUGCGAAGGCGCCAUACUAGAACGGAUCCGACGGUCAGGGACGAAGCCUAGGGGCACGAACCGGAUUAGAUACCCGGGUAGUCCUAGGUGUAAACGCUGUGGACUUGGUGUUGGGGAUUCUACGAGUAUCCCCAGUGCCGGAGUGAAGAUGUUAAGUCCACUGCCUGGGGAGUACGGUCGCAAGGCUGAAACUUAAAGGAAUUGGCGGGGGAGCACAGCAACGAGAGGAGCGUGCG